UUGGUUAAGUCCCGCAACGAGCGCAACCCUUAUUGCUAGUUACCAUCAUUGAGUUGGGGACUCUAGCGAGACUGCCAGUGAUAAACUGGAGGAAGGUGGGGAUGACGUCAAAUCAUCAUGCCCCUUAUGACCUGGGCUACAAACGUGAUACAAUGGCUGAAACAAAGGGCAGCGAAGCAGUGAUGUGGAGCGAAACCCAAAAAGCAGUCUCAGUUCGGAUUGAAGUCUGCAACUCGACUUCAUGAAGUCGGAAUCGCUAGUAAUCGCGGAUCAGAACGCCGCGGUGAAUACGUUCUCGGGUUU
rnacentral:rRNA from 1 species